GCCAGCAGCUAUAUCACCCUGCAACUCACAACUGGCAACCCACUGAAGCUAAGCGGGUGUGAGCCUGGUCAGCACCUGGAUGGGAGACCUCCUGGGAAAAACUAAGGUUGCUGCUGGAA
rnacentral:rRNA from 1 species